rnacentral:rRNA from 1 species
GACGAACGCUGGCGGCGUGCUUAACACAUGCAAGUCGAACGGAAAGGCCCCUUUGGGGGUACUCGAGUGGCGCACGGGUGCGUAACACGUGAGUAACCUGCCCUUGACUUCGGGAUAACUUCAGGAAACUGGGGCUAAUACCGGAUAGGAAUCCUUGCUGCAUGGUGGGGGUUGGAAAGCUUCGGUGGUUUUGGAUGGACUCGCGGCUUAUCAGCUUGUUGGUGGGGUAGUGGCUUACCAAGGCUUUGACGGGUAGCCGGCCUGAGAGGGCGACCGGCCACAUUGGGACUGAGAUACGGCCCAGACUCCUACGGGAGGCAGCGGUGGGGAAUAUUGCACAAUGGGCGGAAGCCUGAUGCAGCAACGCCGCGUGCGGGAUGACGGCCUUCGGGUUGUAAACCGCUUUCAGCAGGGGCGAAGCUUGUGGUGACGGUACCUGCAGAAGAAGCACCGGCUAACUACGUG